rnacentral:lncRNA from 1 species
GUAAAGUUCCGUGACACACCGGAAAUCAAAUGGAGGCAUCGUUGCACAAUUAGUGAGGUUCCGUAACAUUCCGUAAGUCAAAAAGGGGAUGAUUAUGUAAUCCACAAGGUUCCGUAACAUUACAGAAAGGAAACAAGUAUCGAUACGAAAUUCGUAAGUUUCCGUAACUUUACGAAAAAAGAAUCUCCAAAAAAGGCAG